rnacentral:piRNA from 1 species
UGGGGCAGAGAAGUCGUUCGGGAUCCA